UACGAAGGGGGGCUAGCGUUGCUCGGAAUCACUGGGCGUAAAGGGUGCGUAGGCGGGUCUUUAAGUCAGGGGUGAAAUCCUGGAGCUCAACUCCAGAACUGCCUUUGAUACUGAAGAUCUUGAGUUCGGGAGAGGUGAGUGGAACUGCGAGUGUAGAGGUGAAAUUCGUAGAUAUUCGCAAGAACACCAGUGGCGAAGGCGGCAUCCUGGACCAUUACUGACGCUGAGGAGCGAAAGCCAGGGGAGCAAAGCGGG
rnacentral:rRNA from 1 species